rnacentral:rRNA from 1 species
CGGUGAAUACGUUCCCGGACCUUGCACACACCGCCCGUCAAGCCAUGGAAGCUGGGUGUACCUAAAGUCGGUAACCGCAAGAGCCGCCUAGGGUAAAACUAGUAACUGGGGCU